rnacentral:rRNA from 1 species
AUUGAACGCUGGCGGCAUGCCUUACACAUGCAAGUCGAACGGUAACAGGUCUUCGGAUGCUGACGAGUGGCGAACGGGUGAGUAAUACAUCGGAACGUGCCUAGUAGUGGGGGAUAACUACUCGAAAGAGUGGCUAAUACCGCAUGAGAUCUACGGAUGAAAGCAGGGGAUCGCAAGACCUUGUGCUACUAGAGCGGCCGAUGGCAGAUUAGGUAGUUGGUGGGAUAAAAGCUUACCAAGCCGACGAUCUGUAGCUGGUCUGAGAGGACGAUCAGCCACACUGGGACGGAGACACGGCCCAGACUCCUCCGGGAGGGAGCAGUGGGGAAUUUUGGACAAUGGGCGAAAGCCUGAUCCAGCAAUGCCGCGUGCAGGAUGAAGGCCUUCGGGUUGUAAACUGCUUUUGUACGGAACGAAAAGCCCCGGGUUAAUACCCUGGGGUCAUGACGGUACCGUAAGAAUAAGCACCGGCUAACUACGUGCCAGCCGCCGCCGUAA